rnacentral:rRNA from 1 species
GAUGAACGCUGGCGGCGUGCUUAACACAUGCAAGUCGAACGGAAAGGCCGAAGCUUGCUUCGGUACUCGAGUGGCGAACGGGUGAGUAACACGUGGGUGAUCUGCCCUGUACUUCGGGAUAAGCUUGGGAAACUGGGUCUAAUACCGGAUAUGACGAUCUCUUGGAUGGGGUUGUGGAAAGCUUUUGCGGUAUGGGAUGAGCUCGCGGCCUAUCAGCUUGUUGGUGGGUAAUGGCCUACCAAGGCGUCGACGGGUAGCCGGCCUGAGAGGGUGUACGGCCACAUUGGGACUGAGAUACGGCCCAGACUCCUACGGGAGGCAGCAGUGGGGAAUAUUGCACAAUGGGCGCAAGCCUGAUGCAGCGACGCCGCGUGGGGGAUGACGGCCUUCGGGUUGUAAACUCCUUUCGCAAUCGACGAAGCCUUUUGGUGACGGUAGGUUGAGAAGAAGCACCGGCUAACUACGUG